rnacentral:rRNA from 1 species
CCCUUAGAUGUCCUGGGCCGCACACGCGUUACACUGAUGCAUUCAACGAGCUUAUAACCUUGGCCGAGAGGCCUGGGCAAUCUUGUUAACGUGCAUCGUGAUAGGGAUAGAUUAUUGAAAUUAUUAAUCUUGAACGAGGAAUUCCUAGUAAACGCAGAUCAUCAAUCUGCAUUGAUUACGUCCCUGCCCUUUGUACACACCGCCCGUCGCACCUACCGAUUGGAUGGUCCGGUGAAGCCUCGGGAUUGUGGUUCUUGCCGCUUUAUUGUAGCGUGACCGCGAGAACUUGUCUAAACCUUAUCAUCUAGAGGAAGGUGAAGUCGUAACA